CGUGCGGCCAGCGGGGGGCGUGGUGUGCACGUUAACCCUGGCGUUUCUGAACCCAGAGCGUCCCAAGUCUUUCUCGGUGGAUCUGCAGCUCACAGGUCUACAGACUGGUUGAUUUUACCUCAUGUAUAUCAAGGAAGAUGCCAUGCCAAUGAUCCCUCUCUGGUGAAGAAGAGAAAAUUCACAGCGCUUGCAUCCUGGCGCCUGCUGGGGUCCCAGAAGCCAGUUUGUUUGACUGACGCGCAGCGCCCGUCGCCCAGCAGGAUUCCACCGUAAACACGAUUUCCUCUGACGGGAGCCCGCCUGCUUGUCAUGCAGGCACGGUCUCACUGAGCAGACUGUUUUCCUCAGUGGAAGGAGGUCACUCCUGCACGUCCAUGAUCACUCCUGAGAUGCUCCUCACGAUAUGCAUGCAGCCCAGUCUCCUCAGAGGACUCAGCCACUUAGGUU
rnacentral:lncRNA from 1 species